GACGAACGCUGGCGGCGUGCCUAACACAUGCAAGUCGAACGAGUGGCGGACGGGUGAGUAAUGUCUGGGAAACUGCCCGAUGGAGGGGGAUAACUACUGGAAACGGUAUCUAAUUCCCCAUUCCCUCCGAUUUGCCCAUAUCGGAUUAGCUAGUAGGUGGGGUAACGGCUCACCUAGGCGACGAUCCCUAGCUGGUCUGAGAGGAUGACCGGCCACACUGGAACUGAGACACGGUCCAGACUCCUACGGGAGGCAGCAGUGGGGAAUAGUGCACAAUGGGCGAAAGCCUGAUGCAGCCAUGCCGCGUGUGUGAAGAAGGCCUUCGGGUUGUAAAGUACUUUCAGCGAGGAGGCGUUACUCGCAGAGGAAGCACCGGCUAACUCCGUGCCAGCAGCCGCGGUAAUUC
rnacentral:rRNA from 1 species